rnacentral:rRNA from 1 species
AGUGAACGCUGGCGGCAGGCCUAAUACAUGCAAGUCGAACGGCAGCACAGCAGAGCUUGCUCUGUGGGUGGCGAGUGGCGGACGGGUGAGGAAUACGUGGGAAUCUGCCCAGUCGUGGGGGAUAACGUAGGGAAACUUACGCUAAUACCGCAUGCGCCCUUCGGGGAAAGCCGGGGACCUUCGGGCCUGGCGCGAAUUGGAUGAGCCCACGUCGGAUUAGCUAGUUGGCGGGGUAAAGGCCCACCAAGGCGACGAUCCGUAGCUGGUCUGAGAGGAUGAUCAGCCACACUGGAACUGAGACACGGUCCAGACUCCUACGGGAGGCAGCAGUAGGGAAUAUUGGACAAUGGGCGCAAAGCCCUGAUCCAGCCAUGCCGCGUGAGUGAAGAAGGCCCUC